UGAUCAGACAAUUAGCUGGGCAGGAAGGCAUAGGGCAGAACUUCUGACUACAAUGGGGGAGGUCCUAAAGAGUUGAGAGGGAAGGUGGGAGAGGAAGAGAGAGAGAGGGAGAGAGAGAGGGAGAGAGAGAGAGGGAGAGAGAGAAAGAACUGUGGAGAUGUCGCAAGGAUGGCAGGGCCACCUCUAUAUAAACACUGGGGGCCGCUUAGCCACAAAAGCAUCUCCUGCAGGAGGAUCUAAUUGAGGACUUGCCUGAAAAACCAAGGAUUGCCGUCACAGACAAUGCCAGCCAAUCGGGAACUGCUGUUUAGAAGAGAUGCUUUCCUGGGCGCUGAUGGAGAGUAGUAAAGGAGCUUGCAGCGGUGCUCAGAUGAGUUUGCUACUGCCCUGUUUCUCACAGACUCCCAGAGUCUGUGUCAUUGACUCUGUGCCAUAUCACCUCCAACCUCUCAUCUCACCCGAGGGCAGGUAGGGCCAAGUGGUGAGUAAUCCAGGGUGCAGGCGACAUGGAGAGACCAUGUGGGUGGACCAGGAAGAUUGGCCAUGAGGUCACCACCAUGAGAGAAUAGCCAUGACAGGCACACAUGGACUAGAGACCAGAUGUCCAGUAAUGGGGCAUUUUGCUGGUUAGUAGCAUCUUAGUCUGGUUAAACACCCUUGUCCGUUGGGGUCAAAGGAUGCCUAAGAAAACCCCCAAGAAUUACAUUUACACCCCACCCUGGCCAGGUCCUAGAUGAUAUAAAAAACCAGACUGAGCAAGCAAUGAGAAGCAAGCCAGUAAACUGCACUCCUCCAUGGCCUCUGCAUCAGCUCCUGCUUCCAAGGUUCCUGUCCUGUUUGAGUUCCUGUCCUGUCUUCCCACCGUGGUGGACUAUUAUUACUGGCAAGUAUAAGCUGAAAUAACCACUUUCUGGUCACUUGUGUUUAUCAUAGCAAAAGAAACCCUAAGACACAUAAGUAAUUUCUUUACAUCUCAGGUUGUUCUAAUUUGCUUAAUUGCAGAAAGGCCAAAGUCCUCAUAAAGGUCUUCGGUAGACAUUGGUAUCAUAAGGAAACAUCAGUUCUUGUUUAAUAGUGUCAUAGGCCAUUGCUUCUGUUUGCCUUUCUGUUUGGUGGAUUUACUUGUUUUUUGUGUGUAUGUCCUAACUAGAUUGAGGUCUUCCUAACUAACAAUUAUCCGGAUUUGGUAACUCAUUGGUGCCGAGUAGAACGAAUCAUACCUGUCCACUGGAGGAAUUGAUGGCUCGGGUCUGUGGACUGAAACAGCUGUGGGGCAGGGGAGAGACUUAUGUUUGCCUCACACAAAACCUCUUACCUGCUUCCUGAGAAUCAAUAUAGGCUUGAUGAAUUCUUCAAUUCUUUAGAUUUUAAUAUUGUUUUUCCCUUUAUAAAAAAGAAAUUGAGAUUCCCAUCUUGUGGUGAAGACCAAAUGUUACCUACACCCCUGGGCCAACACUAUUCAUAUUUCUGCAGUAAUUCAGGCUUUUCCCGCAGUCUUCCUACAUAGUUAACUCUUGGUUGCCCAGGAGUAAUCUACUUUUCGUGGAUUUUUGUUUGAGUCCUUGAUAGAAUUGUGUUUGAGUCCUUGAUAGAAUUGUGUAGAUUUAAGUCCUCCAUCAGUCCCAGGAGAAUUCAGUCUAAUCGUAUCUCUUAAAAAAAAAAAAAAUCACGUCUCUUGGAAAAGAAGUCUAUGUAUGAUAUGCAUGACAGUUUCUUAAGAAAGAGUUGAUAAAAGGUUCUGUCUUUGUCCCCAUUCUUAGCUGCUGGAUAGAGACGAUCCUGAGAAUGGACACCAGCCAGAUACCAAGUCACUGGGUCCAAUAAUAUCCUUAUGUUUCUAGUGUAAACUGACUAUAUCCAAUGACUGUGGUAUAGGAAUAGCUAAGCAUGCCCACUCUCCAUGAGUCCCUUAUGCAAGUGUUUGUUAUUGGACUGGACAUAGCAGACUCUAAUUUCUAAAAGAGUUAAGGGAAGAUAUUUCUAGAAAAAUACCUGUAUAAUGUUACCAGAAAACAGCCACAUCUUUUACAAGCAGGUGUCACCUGAUCAAGGGACCCAUUUCAAGAUGUCGUUCUGAGAUUUUUGUCAUUGUGUGAAUGACAUGUCACUGACUUACUAGUCAAUGUUAGACUCAGCUGUCAACUUGAUGCACACCUAGAGGCACCUGGGAAUAGGGAGCCUCAAAUGAAGAGCUGCCUAGAACAAGACUGGCCCUUAGCCAUGUUUGGGGGCCAGUUUCAAAGGGAUGCGGGAGAGUCCAUCCCAGGGAUGUAGGAUGAGGGGCCAGCCCAGUGAGCUUGGGGUGUAUAAAAAAAUCAACCGAGCAAGCCAUGGAGAGCAAGCCAGUAAACCAUGUUUCUCCGUGGCCUGUGCUUCAGUUCCUGCCUCCAGGUUCUUCUCUAAAGUACCUGCCUGGCUUUCCUCCAGGAUAGACUGUAUCCUGUGAGCCCAGAUUGAUGUUGGUCUUUGUUUUAUCACAACAACAAAAGAGAAAUGCACUAUAUUACUUAGCUCUGGAUAUUAUAGCCUUCUACACAACAUGAAAGUAAUACUGUGUCUCCAUUUUAAGAUUUCCCCUGAUGACUGAAAUAGAAGAGAUUUGUGGUUAGAUCUAAGAAUAGUACAGUUAUGAAAGAAAAAAUGCCCAAUAAAUCUGAUGAUAGCAUCUUCUAAGGAAGUGAUCUCAAUCCCUUCUUUGUCACCAGCAAGGGACAGGGCAGGAAUUUUUCCUGCCCAGGACUAAGCUGACCAAUGAAUUUCUUCCAAGCUACAGAUUCUACCUCUGCAUCCUUGGCCUGCUCCCUGCCCCCGCUCCACCUUUAAGCUAUCAUCACCUGUUGGGAUGUUGUGGUUUAGAGGGCACGCCAGCCUGUCCUAGCCCUGCUCUACUCUGACUCCUGCUCAGUAGGAAGUGAAGAGUCUCCCUGACAUCCUUCUCCUGCUCCCUGCUACAACACACUCUGAAAGCUCUGAGCUGUGAGCAAAAUCUCCCCUUCUGACAGACUGACUGGUCUAAGAAAAGAAAGGAUGAGGUGAAUCCAUCGAAUCAGAAAAGAGAUCAGUGGCCGUGUUGCUCUUGGGAUGAAAUGGGCAGAUCACGUGACAGUCGACUGAGCACCACUCCAGAGUCAGCUAGGAUGAUGGAUGUGAUGGAAACUUGGGAUAUGCCACACUACAGACCCUAGAAUCCGUUUACUUCAUGACUAUGCUUACUGAUGUCAGCGACACUAAAGAGGGGGUGUCUUUGUUAACAUAGACUUUUUAUUAAAGAUUCAUUUUGCUGU